rnacentral:rRNA from 1 species
UACGGAGGGUGCGAGCGUUGUCCGGAAUCAUUGGGCGUAAAGGGCGCGUAGGUGGCUUCUCAAGCGUGCGGGUGAAAGCCUGGGGCUCAACCCCGGGUCGGCCGUGCGAACUGGGGGGCUUGAGCACUGUAGAGGCAGGCGGAAUUCCGGGUGUAGCGGUGGAAUGCGUAGAGAUCCGGAAGAACACCGGUGGCGAAGGCGGCCUGCUGGGCAGUUUAGCUGACACUGAGGCGCGACAGCGUGGGGAGCAAACAGGG